rnacentral:rRNA from 1 species
UAAGUAGAUGGUGAAUCCUGGGGCUCAACCCUUUAACAUUAUCUAACUGCUAAGCUAGAGGGCGAGAGAGGUAGCUAGAAUUCCUAGUGUAGGAGUGAAAUCCGUAGAUAUUAGGAGGAAUACCGAUGGCGUAGGCAGGCUACUGGCUCGUCCCUGACACUAAGGCACGAAAGCGUGGGGAGCGACCGGGAUUAGAUACCCCGUUAGUCCACGCCGUAAACGAUGGAUGCUA